rnacentral:rRNA from 1 species
ACUCUUACGGGAGGCAGCAGUGGGGAAUUUUGCGCAAUGGGGGAAACCCUGACGCAGCAACGCCGCGUGAGGGAUGAAGUCCUUUGGGAUGUAAACUCCUUUCGUCCGGGAAGAUAAUGACGGUACC